AGAAUUUAGCAGAGAUGCUUUAGUGCCUUCGGGAACUCUGAGACAGGUGCUGCAUGGCUGUCGUCAGCUCGUGUUGUGAAAUGUUGGGUUAAGUCCCGCAACGAGCGCAACCCUUUAUCCUUUGUUGCCAGCACGUAAUGGUGGGAACUCAAAGGAGACUGCCGGUGAUAAACCGGAGGAAGGUGGGGAUGACGUCAAGUCAUCAUGGCCCUUACGAGUAGGGCUACACACGUGCUACAAUGGCGCAUACAAAGAGAAGCGACCUCGCGAGAGCAAGCGGACCUCAUAAAGUGCGUCGUAGUCCGGAUUGGAGUCUGCAACUCGACUCCAUGAAGUCGGAAUCGCUAGUAAUCGUAAAUCAGAAUGUUACGGUGAAUACGUUCCCGGGCCUUGUACACACCGCCCGUCACACCAUGGGAGUGGGUUGCAAAAGAAGUAGAUAGCUUAACCUUCGGGAGGGCGUUUACCACUUUGUGAUUCAUGACUGGGGUGAAGUCGUAACAAGGUAAGCGUAGUGCU
rnacentral:rRNA from 1 species